rnacentral:rRNA from 1 species
UACGUAGGGGGCGAGCGUUGUUCGGAAUUACUGGGCGUAAAGGGCGUGUAGGCGGUGUGGUAAGUUGGGCGUGAAAUCCCCGGGCUUAACCCGGGGGGGCCGUUCAAAACUGCCAUGCUAGGGUGUGGGAGAGGGUAGUGGAAUUCCCGGUGUAGCGGUGAAAUGCGUAGAUAUCAGGAGGAACACCGGUGGUGUAGACGGCUUACUGGACCAUAACUGACGCUGAGACACGAAAGCGUGGGUAGCAAACAGG